AAUAUCUGACAAUGGGGGCAACCCUGAUCCAGCCAUGCCGCGUGUGUGAAGAAGGUCUUCGGAUUGUAAAGCACUCUAUGUUUGGCGGAGGGGCUCUGUGUUAGUACCCUGAAGUUUUGACUUUUCCAACAGUAUAAGCACCGGCCAUCGUUGUGCCAGCAUCCGCGGUAAUACAGAGGGCGCAAGCGUUAAUCGGAAUUACUGGGCGUAAAGCGCGCGUAGGUGGUUCAGUAAGAUGGGUGUGAAAUCCCCGGGGUUAACCUGGGAACUGCUUUCAUAACUGCUGAGAUAGAGUGCGGUAGAGGGUAGUGGGAUUUCCUGUGUAGAGGUGAAAUGCGUAGAUAUAGGAAGAAACACCAGUGGCGAAGGCGACUACCUGGACUGAUACUGACACUGAGGUGCGAAAGCGUGGGGAGCAAACAG
rnacentral:rRNA from 1 species